rnacentral:rRNA from 1 species
AAAACAUUCUUCCCCCUUAGUAUGGGUGACAAAAAAGGGAAUAAGAGCUAUAGAACUAGUACCGCGAGGGAACGCUGAAAGAGAGAUGAAACAGAACAGUAAAGUAAAACAAAGCAGAGCUACCACCUCGUACCUUUUGCAUCAUGAAUUAGCAAGUACACCCAGGCAAGAAGCACCCUAGCCUGACGCCCCGAAACUGGGUGAGCUACUCCAGGGCCGCCUACUGAAGGGCAAACCCGUCUCUGUGGCAAAAGAGUGGGAAGACCCUCGAGUUGAAGUGAUAAACUUACCGAACCCAGUAAUAGCUGGUUGUCUGGAAAGUGUAUGUAAGUUCAGCCCCUUUUAUUCUUUAGUUAAAAGCAGAAUCUGCAAGUCUAAUAUUAAGAAUAAAUGGGAGUUAGUCGAAGGGGGUACAGCCCCUUCGAUGAAGGAAACAACCUUUAAAGGAGGAUAAAGAUUAUAAUACCCAAGAGUUAGCGCCCCAGUAGGCCUAAGAGCAGCCACCUGAAUAGAAAGCGUCAAAGCUUAAGCACACUUUAACCCUAUUAUACCAUUAAACUCAAACAGAAGCCCCAACCUUAAACCAGACCCUCCUACUUGUAGUGGGAGAGAAUAUGCUAGUAUGAGUAAUAAGAGGCCUAAGAAUCUCUCCCCGCACGCGUGUAAGUCGGCAUGGACCACCCACCGACAACUAACGGACCCAAAUAAAGAGGGUAAUGAAGGAUAAGACACUGGAAAAUAACUCACCCUCCCCCGUUAACCCCACACUGGUGUGCAACAGGGAAAGACAAAAGGAAUAGAGAAGGAACUCGGCAAAACCACAAAGCCUCGCCUGUUUACCAAAAACAUCGCCUCUUGCAAAAUUAAGAAUAAGAGGUCCAGCCUGCCCAGUGACAUUUUUUAACGGCCGCGGUAUUUUGACCGUGCUAAGGUAGCGCAAUCACUUGUCUUUUAAAUGAAGACCUGUAUGAAAGGCAUCACGAGGGCUUAACUGUCUCCUCUUUCCAGUCAAUGAAAUUGAUCUCUCCGUGCAGAAGCGGGGAUUUAAACAUAAGACGAGAAGACCCUGUGGAGCUUGAGACGCUAGCGCAGCCCAUGUAAAACACCCAAUGUUCCAGGAAUCAACUGAUGGGGACUGCGCCUUUGUCUUCGGUUGGGGUGACCACGGAGUAAGAAUAACCACCGUGCAGACAGGGAGCAAAUAGGGACAAUUACCCCCACCCACAACUGCCCUCCUCAAAACCAGAGCUCCGGCUCUAGUUAACGAAACUUUCGACUUAAAAUGAUCCGGGAUAACCGAUCAUCGAACCAAGUUACCCCAGGGAUAACAGCGCUAU